rnacentral:hammerhead_ribozyme from 1 species
AUCCAGCUGACGAGUCCAAAACAGGACGAAACGCGUGUCCUGGAU